GAUGAACGCUGGCGGCGUGCCUAAUACAUGCAAGUCGAGCGAACGGAUGAGAAGCUUGCUCUUCUGAUGUUAGCGGCGGACGGGUGAGUAACACGUGGAUAACCUACCUAUAAGACUGGGAUAACUUCGGGAAACCGGAGCCAAUACCGGAUAAUAUUUUGAACCGCAUGGUUCAAAAGUGAAAGACGGUUUUGCUGUCACUUAUAGAUGGAUCCGCGCUGCAUUAGCUAGUUGGUAAGGUAACGGCUUACCAAGGCAACGAUGCAUAGCCGACCUGAGAGGGUGAACGGCCACACUGGAACUGAGACACGGUCCAGACCCCUACGGGAGGCAGCAGUAGGGAAUCUUCCGCAAUGGGCGAAAGCCUGACGGAGCAACGCCGCGUGAGUGAUGAAGGUCUUCGGAUCGUAAAACUCUGUUAUUAGGGAAGAACAUAUGUGUAAGUAACUGUGCACAUCUUGACGGUACCUAAUCAGAAAGCCACGGCUAACUACGUG
rnacentral:rRNA from 1 species